UUUUAUGGCAGCUGUGUGCGGGAGACCUUCGGGUCUGCCGAGGUUUUUGGGCGUUGUCUUACUCGGUCUUGCACACUCGCACAUAGCUGCCACCCUU
rnacentral:antisense_RNA from 1 species